rnacentral:rRNA from 1 species
UUCAGGGAAAAACUGUUUUAAACUUAAAAAUUAAAUUUAUUUUAAUUUGUGAAGAAACAAUUAUUUAAAUUAAGGACAAGAAGACCCUAAGAAUUUUAAAAAUAAUAAUUUUAAUAUUAAAAUUAUUAUUUUUUGGUUGGGGCAACUAAAAAAGAUUAUAAACUUUUUAUUUAAUAAAAUGAUCCAUUAUUAAUGAUAAUUUGAUAAAAAUACUCUAGGGAUAACAGCGUAAUAAUUUUUGAUAGAACAUAUAGACGAAAUAGUUUGCGACCUCGAUGUUGGAUCAGGAUACUUUUUUAAUGAAGAUGUUAAAAAAAGAAGUUUGUUCAACUUUUAAAGUCCU